rfam:Ciona savignyi cont_30359, whole genome shotgun sequence.
GUCGUCGUGGCCGAAUGGUUAAGGCGACAGACUUGAAACCUGUUGGGCUCUGCCCGCACCGGUUCGAAUCCUGUCGGCGACG